rnacentral:rRNA from 1 species
CUACGGAGGGGGCUAGCGUUGUUCGGAUUUACUGGGCGUAAAGCGCGCGUAGGCGGUAUAUCAAGUUAGGCGUGAAAGCCCCGGGCUCAACCCGGGAACUGCGCUUAUUACUGAUAAACUAGAGUCCGGGCGAGGGUGGCGGAAUUCCCAGUGUAGAGGUGAAAUUCGUAGAUAUUGGGAAGAACACCAGUUGCGAAGGCGGCCACCUGGACCGGUACUGACGCUGAGGUGCGAAAGCGUGGGGAGCAAACAGGAGUAGAUACCCCAGUAGUCC